CAACAGGCCGUCGGGGGUCUUUAAACUGCAAAACAUCCCACCAGGAUAAACGGUGUUAAAACUCCUCUCAACAUCCUGACAUCCUGGGUACCCUGGGUAUGGACAGCCAAAGAGAGGUUCAGUGGGCCCUGUGAUCAUGUCUGAAUUAAGCAAGGAGAGUGAGUCAGAGCGACACUGUUCCUCUGUGGGUGCACAAACGAGGAGGUUGUCCAGUACUGAAUGAGAGCACAGCCCUUUGUUUGACAGAACACAUGACUUGAAAGGCACAGGGAAAGGAACGUGUAGGAACUCCCAGUGAACAGCAGCAAGGGAGAGAUCCAAGAAGGCUUUACAAUUGGAUGAAGAGGUGAUGGAAGUCACUGCAUGUUGGCAAACCUCAGUUCUUUGCCAUCAAUGUAGCUUGCAAAUUUUGACCCUUCCUCAGCAAAGCUGCCAGUGUCCUUCCGGUCCUCUAGGAGCUGUCAGUGCAUUGUCAAUGUUGACAAUAGCAAUAUUAACAUACAAUUUAAAGUUGAUGCAUAACAAUGGUAUGUAGCCUUUUGCGAUACCAACACUCAUCAGAUCAAAUGGAGUGGCAGGAACCAGGAGCACGGACAGCGGUUGGUGAGGAGGUGGAGCAAGUUAUUAGCUACCUAUCUCGUUGUGCCCUGAUGACAAGAUAUGUCAAAAGCAGGUGAUUAAUCUGUUGCGAAUGUAUUGAAUCAAGUAGAGUGUAAAUUUCCUUUAAAAGCAGAACAAAAUGCUUUCAGACCUUUUAUUGUAAAGGAUGUGUUUGUCAUACU